UACGUAGGGUGCAAGCGUUGUUCGGAUUUUAUUUGGGCGUAAAGCGUGCGUAGGCGGCGGGGUAAGUGAGGUGUGAAAUCCCGGAGCUUAACUCCGGAACUGCACUUUAUACUGCCUUGCUCGAGGGCUGGAGAGGAGACUGGAAUUUACGGUGUAGCAGUGAAAUGCGUAGAGAUCGUAAGGAAGACCAGUGGCGAAGGCGAGUCUCUGGAAAGCUGCUGACGCUGAGGCACGAAGGCCAGGGGAGCAAACGGG
rnacentral:rRNA from 1 species